UCACUCAAAGAUGAUCCCGCGUUGUAUUAGCUAGUUGGUGAGGUAAAGGCCCACCAAGGCGAUGAUACAUAGCCGACCUGAGAGGGUGAUCGGCCACAUUGGGACUGAGACACGGCCCAAACUCCUACGGGAGGCAGCAGUAGGGAAUCUUCGGCAAUGGACGAAAGUCUGACCGAGCAACGCCGCGUGAGUGAAGAAGGUUUUCGGAUCGUAAAACUCUGUUGGUAGAGAAGAACGUUGGUGAGAGUGGAAAGCUCAUCAAGUGACGGUAACUACCCAGAAAGGGACGGCUAACUACGUGCCAGCAGCCGCGGUAAUACGUAGGUCCCGAGCGUUGUCCGGAUUUAUUGGGCGUAAAGCGAGCGCAGGUGGUUUAUUAAGUCUGGUGUAAAAGGCAGUGGCUCAACCAUUGUAUGCAUUGGAAACUGGUAGACUUGAGUGCANGAGAGGAGAGUGGAAUUCCAUGUGUAGCGGUGAAAUGCGUAGAUAU
rnacentral:rRNA from 1 species